rnacentral:rRNA from 1 species
CCUACGGGAGGCAGCAGUAGGGAAUCUUUCACAAUGGGCGAAAGCCUGAUGGAGCAACGCCGCGUGCAGGAUGAAGGCCUUCGGGUUGUAAACUGCUUUUAUAAGCGAGAAAUAUGAUGGUAACUUAUGAAUAAGGAUCGGCUAACUACGUGCCAGCAGCCGCGGUCAUACGUAGGAUCCGAGCAUUAUCCGGAGUGACUGGGUGUAAAGAGUUGCGUAGGUGGCAUUAUAAGUAGCGAGUGAAAUCUGGUGGCUCAACCAUUCAGACUAUUAGCUAAACUGUUAAGCUCGAGACCGUUAGAGGUAACUGGAAUUUCUAGUGUAGGAGUGAAAUGCGUAGAUAUUAGGAAGAACACCGAUAGCGUAGGCAGGUUACUGGGACGGUUCUGACACUGAGGCACGAAAGCGUAGGGAGCAAACGGGAUUAGAUACCCCUGUAGUC